UAUUUUUGUUCCUUUCCUCACUGCUUCCAUUGUUAUUAAAACUAUUCUUGUUGCAAUCGUUUUUUAUGGUACUGACUAAAAUAUACUUUCUUCAUUUACCUAUUACUUCUCGAUUGGAGUAAUUUCUCUUACAGUAAUAAUUCUCGUGAAGAGUUUGGAUUGGAUAGCCACAAAGGCCAAUGCUCUUGCGAAGACUAAGGCAAAUGUUGAAACUGAAACGUAGUGUGAGUCCGAGUAAGCACCAUAUAAUCAGUGAGGAUGAGUUUUUUUUUUCUACGGGCUAACAUUUUUGUUUGAGGUACAUUCAAAAUGUGGGUUUUUUUUUUCUUUUUGUUAGUUAUAUUUAGGUUCUCCUUCAGGAUGAGCCACCUUUGGAAGAUACUGGUUGUUCUGCAGUCAUUCAACUGCUCUAAUUGGGUUGUUCCUGCAAAGUAAUUCAUUUAAAGUCUUGGUAUGAAAAUGGCUUCAGUCUAAUAAAGUUGUAUCAGGC